GUCCUCAUAGCUCAGCUGGAUAGAGCAACGGCCUUCUAAGCCGUAGGUCGCAGGUUCGACUCCUGCUGGGGACG
rnacentral:tRNA from 1 species